UGGCUGAACCCUUACAAAAUGCAGAUGAUUCUCUUCUUCAUUGUUUUUCUGCAAUCUUCUGCAUGAAAACCUGAUCAACUCAAAUUUACUCAAAGAAAUAUAUCAAAAACUAACGCAACAUGGGAUGUUGCAAAUUGUCGAAUCUUCAGAGGAAAUGAAAGGUAAUUUUUGGUUAUAUUAAAGUAAUGACAUUUCGAACAAGUAACAUACAUAUUUUUCAAGUUGAAUUUUAAACUCAAUCUUUACUAAACGACAAUGAUUGCCAUAAGACAAUAAUUAUGAUGCUGUGCCUUUUUAGCUCACCUUGCCCAAUGGCCAAGCGAGCUUUUCUCAUCACUUUGCGUCCGUCGUCAGUCGUCGUCUUGGGGUAUCUAUUUAAAAAAAUCAGAUGACCCCGCUUGCCAACCAAGAUGGCCGACAAGGCUAAAAAUAGAACAUAGGGGUGGAAUUCAAGUUUUGUCCAUUAUAAUGAAAACCGUUAUAAUAGAGAAAAUCUGACAGGGCAAAAAUGUACAGAAUGUUGAAAUCUACCAGGUGUCCAUAUACGUCAAAACUGCCAGACAACUUUUUAUAGAAGUUAUUGCCCAUAAAUGACAAAUUUUACCAUUUUUUUCAUGUUUGCCUAUUUGGAAAAUUAUAAUUGAUAGAGAGAAACUUUUAAUUGCAAAAAUGAUCAGCAAGACAAGUUCUACAAAUAAGUCACAUGGUCGAAAUCGUCAGUCGAUUCCUUAUUAGAGUCAUUGCCCUUUGAUGACGAUUUUUACCAAUUUGUUGCUUUUUUAGCCUUGUAUCUUUAAUAUUAUAAUAAAUAGACAUAUGGAGGAAAUCAUCCGAUAACUCCUUAUUGGAGUAAUUGCCCUUUAAUGACGAUUUUUGCCAUUUUUUUUUGCGUUUUGCCUUAUAUGAUAAAAAUUAUAAUAGAUAAAUAGACACUUUAAAUCACAAAACUUAUCAAGAAGGCAAGAUCUACUUACAAGUCAAAUUUUACCGAUAUAGUUAGUAGACUGUCACUCUUUAUAGGAGUGAGUGCCCUUAAAUGAGGAUUUUUUUACCCUCUUUUGUGUUUUGAGCAAAAACUAAAAAAAGAUAUAGAGAAACUAAACAGACUAAAUGAUCAGCAAUACAAGAUCAACAAAACAGAUUUUUGUCAUGAAUUCUGUUCUUGUCUACAAUGUUGGAGAGUGUCCUUUGUUGAAUAUGCACACAGACCAUGGAAGUAAUAUUAAUAUUGAAAUAUUACUUCCAUGCACAGACCAAGGUGAGCGACACAGGCUUUUUAGAGCCUCUAGUUUAUUUUUGUUACACGUUUUAAUUUGGUUUAUUUGCAGAAGUGAUAUUUUUACAAAAAGUUAUUGAACAUGAACAAUGGCAAAUUGAUAUGUCUACCCAGAGACAUAUAAUACAAUGUAUUAUAUGUCUCUGGUCUACCGAAGAAAUUAAUGGUAAGUUAUCCGGUACAACAUACAAAACAGACACAUGACGUUAGUUGUUUUGGAAAAUAUUUUCCACUAAAUCAAGAUUUAACGAGAGUUUAGCUUGUUACCAAUAAUAAUUUCAGUCUGCAACUAAUUUUUUAAUUAUUACAAGUAACAUACAUAUUUUUUAAGAUGAUUUUUUAAUUUUAAAACUCAUACUUUAGUGCAAGGGACAUUACUUCGCUGAUUCCAACACUAAACGACAUAUCAUUUGCAAAGUUAAAGUUAUUCAGUGAGUACAAAUUCUUCUAGUUGGGUCACUUGUCGCGCAAUGAUUAACCGAAGUUAAACUAAUUCAGCGAGUUUAUGUCGUCUUUGACAAAUUCAAUUCCCUCUUAUUCUUCUGUUGAAGAUAUUUGGCCUUAAUAUUGCUAAGUUACAUCUGAAGUAUUCAUUCAAUCUAUAUCAUUUGGUCUUCUUUUAUAGGUAGUUUUUAUUAUUUUUUUUUAUUUUGUUGUGUUUUUGCUUUUUUUAAAAUGAUUAUUGCAGCUCUCAUGUUCAGACUAGGUACAAACUGGAAUGUCCGUAUCCCUGCCAUCGUGACUAGUCUUCAGGACAUUUACACCAAACUCGAUGCAUAGUCACAGAAUGAGAUUACACUUCUGUCUGAAAUUAAUUCCUGGAAAGAAACAAUGAUGCAUAAUAUAAGAAAACUGAGACAAUUGAACCAUCAGCUAUAGAUGUGAACAUCCAGAUUCAGCAGAAAUUAAAAGGAUUGAGGACACUGGACACGGGAUUUCCAAUACGAUGUGAAAAUGGAAACAGUACCCUGUGAAGGACAAUUUGAUAUUGAGUACCAUUUUUUUUUAAUAAAUACAUGAAUAGUU